AGAGUUUGAUCAUGGCUCAGAACGAACGCUGGCGGCAUGCCUAAUACAUGCAAGUCGAACGAUCUCUUCGGAGAUAGUGGCGCACGGGUGCGUAACGCGUGGGAAUCUGCCCUUGGGUUCGGAAUAACGUCGGGAAACUGACGCUAAUACCGGAUGAUGACGUAAGUCCAAAGAUUUAUCGCCCAGGGAUGAGCCCGCGUAGGAUUAGCUAGUUGGUGAGGUAAAGGCUCACCAAGGCGACGAUCCUUAGCUGGUCUGAGAGGAUGAUCAGCCACACUGGGACUGAGACACGGCCCAGACUCCUACGGGAGGCAGCAGUAGGGAAUAUUGGACAAUGGGCGCAAGCCUGAUCCAGCAAUGCCGCGUGAGUGAUGAAGGCCUUAGGGUUGUAAAGCUCUUUUACCCGGGAUGAUAAUGACAGUACCGGGAGAAUAAGCCCCGGCUAACUCCGUGCUAGCAGCCGCGGUAAUUC
rnacentral:rRNA from 1 species